ACGGUCUGGGAAAAGGCUCCUGUGUGGUUGAACCUGCCCGAGGUGGGUGCAGCCCUGUACCAGACAGCCCGACCUUGACCUAGAGUAUGACCUCGGAGGAACAUCUCCCUGGGGUUAGAAUUUGCAGUAACAGGUGUGAACAUCUUAGCAGCAGUUUGAUGGUCAUGUAUGAUACUGCAAACAAGA